CUACAAAGGAAUUGACGGGGCCCGCACAAGCGGUGGAGCAUGUGGUUAAUUCGACGCAACGCGAAGAACCUUACCAGGGCUUGACAUCCCCUGACCGCGUAUGAAAGUACGUUUUCACCCUCGGGUGACAGGGAGACAGGUGCUGCAUGGCUGUCGUCAGCUCGUGUCGUGAGAUGUUGGGUUAAGUCCCGCAACGAGCGCAACCCUCGCCUUUAGUUGCCAGCAUUCAGUUGGGCACUCUAGAGGGACUGCCGGUGCCAAACCGGAGGAAGGUGGGGAUGACGUCAAGUCCUCAUGGCCUUUAUGUCUAGGGCUACACACGUACUACAAUGGCCGGUACAAAGGGCAGCCACUCAGCGAUGAGGCGCUAAUCCCAUAAAGCCGGUCUCAGUCCGGAUCGCAGUCUGCAACUCGACUGCGUGAAGUUGGAAUCGCUAGUAAUCGCGGGUCAGCAGACCGCGGUGAAUAUGUUCCCGGGUUUU
rnacentral:rRNA from 1 species